rnacentral:rRNA from 1 species
UACGGAGGGGGCUAGCGUUGUUCGGAAUUACUGGGCGUAAAGCGCACGUAGGCGGACCAUCAAGUUGGGGGUGAAAUCCCGGGGCUCAACCCCGGAACUGCCUCCAAGACUGCUGGUCUGGAGGUCGAGAGAGGUGAGUGGAAUUCCGAGUGUAGAGGUGAAAUUCGUAGAUAUUCGGAGGAACACCAGUGGCGAAGGCGGCUCACUGGCUCGAACCUGACGCUGAGGUGCGAAAGCGUGGGGAGCAAACAGG